UACUAGAGUAGCACUCGCAUAUCAAUAAGCGGAGGAAAAGAAACUAACAAGGAUUCCCCUAGUAACGGCGAGUGAAGCGGGAAGAGCUCAAAUUUGAAAUCUUAAAGGGUUUCCCUUUACGAAUUGUAGUUUAAAGGAAGUGUUUUCUGUUGAGGUUUUGGUAAAAGUUCUUUGGAAUAGGACAUCAUAGAGGGUGAGAAUCCCGUAUUUGACCUUUACUUUCAACUUUGUGAUACACUUUCAAAGAGUCGGAUUGUUUGGGAAUGCAGUCCAAAAUGGGUGGUAAAUUUCAUCUAAAGCUAAAUAUUGGCGAGAGACCGAUAGCGAACAAGUACCGUGAGGGAAAGAUGAAAAGAACUUUGAAAAGAGAGUUAAACAGUACGUGAAAUUGUCAAAAGGGAAGCGUUUGACACCAGUGUUGUUUUUCUGAAAAUCAAUUAAAGAACUGUUUAUGCUAAGCUGUUUAGACUUUAUCAGCUAUCUGUUUAGUUUUGAGCUUUUCUUUAAUGCACUUUUCAGUUAACAAGUCAACAUCAAUUUCUUUUGCUGUAAAAAAGCUUGAGGAAGGUGGCUUGAGAUUCGUCCUUAAGUGUUUAUAGCCUCUUGCCUAUGCAGUCGGAGAGAUUGAGGCUCUGCAGCGUAGAUCCUUCGGGGCUAAAUGCAUUUGUGCUAAGUUAUAGCAUUUUAUAGACAACUUGUUGACUAUGAUUUGUCUUGUAGCUUACUCGCUUAUGUUAUUUUACCUACGCUUAGGAUGUUGAACUCUAUCACACACAG
rnacentral:rRNA from 1 species